rnacentral:lncRNA from 1 species
GUUUGACACCUCUGAGCAUCAGUGAAGUACAAAUUGGAGGACAAAUUAAGGCCAGGGUGUAGAGCACCCCCUCUACCCACCCCACCCCCACAUUCUGACAAAUCAGUCUAUAGAUUUGCACCUCAUCGAGCAACAACAACCUAAGAAGCAAGGAAUGACCUUAGGAAGCAGCAAAAGAGACACAGGACAGUGGUGAGUGUGACAUAGGCCUAUUGGACAGUUAUAUCACAUCCAGACAUGAGCUUGGUGGAAGGCCAAAGCUGGAUAAGAAAAGAG